CCAACAGGUAACGCAUGAACUCAUGGGCAUCUUGUUGCUGGUAUCCCCUUAACACAAAAAUAUUCAGACAAUUUAAAGAAACUGCAUCUUUAUUUCUGACAUAUUGGCUCAAAGUAGUUCCAACAUUCAAACCAAAAGAAUAGCCUGUUACUUAAUAUCUUGUAGGAUACACGUGUUUGUGCAAUUUCUAUUACUUUGGCUGUACUCGCCACACAUCUCUGGAAACCUGGAGUGAACUGGUCUAGACAAGCUAAGCAAUUAGUUUAGAUCAGACUGCAAUAUGAUCUCAAAGACACAGCUUGUAUUAUGCUCAUGUGUACAACUGGCAGAAUUCUAAAUUUCCCACUCCUCUUGUCCAAUUUUUUUUUUAAAGACUUUAAAUUUAAAAAGAAAAUUCCUUGUUUUUUAAAAAAAUACAAAGGAAUGCUGGACACCGAGCAAUAAUUGUACAUGUACUUGAUUCUUGCCUCUUGAGCAGUUCUGACACGGGACAGGCAGUAACUCUCACUAUUGUGCAGCAAGGAGGGUUGGACCUUCAUGGCUAGCCCAUAUUGCAGGUGGGGCAGAGUCAUACAUGUGCCAAGCCACUGCAACUGCUGACCAGUUGUGAACCUAUGUGGUUAAGGCCAAGCACUUCUUUCAAGUGCCUGAAGUGGCGCAACCUAAAAGGGAACAGUAGCAGACGGAGGUGGCUCUCUCUCAAUCCUUCCCUCAGGGUUGCACAAUCACUCCCGCCCUUCCCCUUUGGGGUUAUUGGUUAUCAGUCUGUCACUCCAUUUGUAUAGGUUUGUUUGUUGCAUGGUAUAUUAAGAAGGGAUGUGGCAUUCAUAUCCGUGGGGGGGAGAGAGGCAUAUUUGGACUUGGAAGUAACUGUGGUUUGCAUUGAGCAGGUUUGCAGUUUGAACAGUUGCAUCAGUUUGAACUGAUCAUCAUAAAUGAUGCACAACAUACUAGAAUCUUGGACUGGGAAAACAUGGUUUUACAUCACACUUUUUUGGCAUCUAAGAGAUUCAGUAGUUUUUGGACAAAAGUUCUGAGCAGAUUUUCUUCAGACACCAGACCCAUCAUUUCUCUUAACACUGUCAACUGGUUCUCUUCUCUCAGAUAAAGGGUUUCAUUCCCAGGCUGUUUUCUCCACAAGCCUCCUGCAGUAAUAGCAUGAGCUCUUUGAAAUGACAGGAAUGUAUCCCCCAUCCCUGGGCUGGGCUACGGAACGGUGUUUAGAAUUGUAUGGAGGGGUUUCAACCUCCACUCUGGGUAAUCUUGCAACAUUUUUGAGUGAAGAAAUGCAUUUGAGGCACAAUUCUUCUCAUUACAUUUGGACUCAGACACCCAACUGACCGUGGAAGUUUUUAGAGUCUCUGAAGUACAAUGGAAGCAGUAGCAGAAAGAUGUUGCUCACACAAGAAGCAAUCAGUGCUUCACUGCUAGCUAGGCUGUAGGAAGCCAACAGCAGUCAGGUAAGCAAGUUUUUAUAAGUUACCAGUAAGCUAAAGGAUGUAAUAAUUCAAGGAAAGUCAGCAGGAAUCUCUAUGAAUACAUCAUAAGACUCAAAGCACCCAGCCCCAAAUGAAGUGGGGGGAUACAUCAUCACAGAAACAGAUAGCUACACAACCCUUCAUAGGAUUAGUACAGAAGUUCCCAAACCAUGGGCUGCAGAGAGCUGCAUUCUCUGCAGUUCUGGUCCUUUAAAUUUCACUAAUAAACUAAAAAUCCAUCACAUAUUAUUCUCCUAUUCCAUGUAAGCAACUGAUGCAGUUACCACCAGGAUAUGUGACUGAGUGGGAUGGGUGAUGGUUUCUAAAGUCAUGAACAGAAGGGGCAAUGUCUAUACAAAACUCUCAACGGUACAGAACACACCACAGAGUUGGAGAACCUGUGGUUUAGCUGAGUGAGCACAGAAUGCAUACGCUGGCACAUGCCCAUAGGAAAGGUGACAUGCCUAAUACAGAAUGCAGUCACUGCACACCAAGCUUCCUACAAAAUCUCAGCCAAAGUUAAAGUGAACAUACACUAAAACCUUAAAUAAGCAUCCCUCCUUUAUCCCCGAACAAGCAUAACAAGAGCCAUUUCCUCCAAACCAGAGUCACAACAAGCAUUACUGAGAAACUGCCUAGCUUUGCCACAACAGCAGUGAAAGCAGAGCUGUGAAAUCAAACACAGGAAAAUGAAGGCAGGUGUGACUCAGAACAUUUACAGCAGACUGCUGCUGUGCUGCAUCAAGCUGAGGACAGUCUAUGAACUCUUAAGAUGAUCAGCUUGGUUCCCCCUCCAAUUCCUUUUACAUCAUCCCUGGUCACUAAAGAUGGAAUUCAGAAUUAAAAAGAUUAUCUGGUAAAGGAUGCGAUAUCUGCAAGUUAACUUUGCAUAGAUACUAAACAGAAGAUGUUUAAUGUUUAUACAAACUGGACUAUCACUCCAGAACAAAUGAAUGAGGCAGAAUUCUUUCUGAGCUGCGUGAUCAAUGUAAGAAAGACUGGGGUUUAAAUGCAGUCAUUAGAAGAUACUAAGUUAAUGAAGGAAUUGCUUAGGUUGUUUAAUAGAUAUAUCCACAUUUUAUAUAGCUUAGCAGAGUUACAACAGAAGAAAGAAAAUUUAUGGGAACAGCAUUAUCAGCAAGAAUGUGUUACAGACAACAUUACUUAAGCCAAAGCACAGAAAUUUUAAAUGAAAUGGGACAUAUAUUUGAUCUGAAAUGUGAUGUAAUUUGAUUUGUAAAUGUUUUAUUGUUAUUUACAUUUAUAAUAUAGCACUUUGUAAGGUUUGUAUUCCGUUCAUCCAAGUACAAAUAUCUUUGGAAUGUUAACUGAUCUAAAAUAAAAUGACCAAAGUUCCUGUG